ACAGAGACUGCAAGCGUUAUUCGGAUUCACUGGGCGUAAAGGGUGCGCAGGCGGCCGUGUGUGUGAAGUGUGAAAGCCCGGGGCUUAACCCCGGAAUUGCACCUCAAACUACAUGGCUAGAGCAUUGGAGAGGGUAGCGGAAUUCACGGUGUAGCAGUGAAAUGCGUAGAUAUCAGGAGGAACACUGGCGGCGAAGGCGGCUUCCUGGACCAAUACUGACGCUGAGACGCGAAAGCGUGGGGAGCAAACAGGA
rnacentral:rRNA from 1 species